rnacentral:rRNA from 1 species
AGCGAACGCUGGCGGCAGGCUUAACACAUGCAAGUCGAACGGGCGUAGCAAUACGUCAGUGGCAGACGGGUGAGUAACGCGUGGGAACGUACCUUUUGGUUCGGAACAACCCAGGGAAACUUGGGCUAAUACCGGAUAAGCCCUUACGGGGAAAGAUUUAUCGCCGAAAGAUCGGCCCGCGUCUGAUUAGCUAGUUGGUGAGGUAACGGCUCACCAAGGCGACGAUCAGUAGCUGGUCUGAGAGGANGAUCAGCCACAUUGGGACUGAGACACGGCCCAAACUCCUACGGGAGGCAGCAGUGGGGGAAUAUUGGACAAUGGGCGCAAGCCUGAUCCAGCCAUGCCGCGUGAGUGAUGAAGGCCCUAGGGUUGUAAAGCUCUUUUGUGCGGGAAGAUAAUGACGGUACCGCAAGAAUAAGCCCCGGCUAACUUCGUGCCAGCCGCCGCGGUAAC